GUAGCUCAGCUGGAUAGAGCGCUGCCCUCCGAAGGCAGAGGCAAGCGAAAUCUGCUGAAAUUAUGAGAUAGGAAAGCCGAGGAAGAUCAAGAUAUUGGACAAAUUCAAAGGAAGCGGGGUGAUCGCUUUCCUGU
rnacentral:tRNA from 1 species